rnacentral:rRNA from 1 species
AUGCAAUCUUAUGAUGAAAAACUUAAUUUGGAAGUUUCUAUACCUAGAAAACUUAACGAUGAGUGGGAACCUACUAUAAAGAUUAAAAUUAAAGAUUAUGAGUGUUUUGCUUUGUGUGAUUUGGGUGCUAGUGUUUCAACGAUUCCGAAAACUUUAUGUGAUAUUCUAGGUUUCCAUGAUCUUGAUGAUUGCUCUUUAAAUUUGCACCUUGCGGAUUCCACCAUUAAAAAGCCUAUGGGAAGGAUCAAUGAUGUUGUUAUCAUUGCAAAAAUAAAUUUGGUUCCCGUAGAUUUUAUCGUUCUUGAUAUAGAUUGCAAUCUUUCUUGCCCUAUUAUUCUUGGUAGACCUUUCCUUAGAACGAUUGGUGCGAUUAUUGAUAUGAAGGAAGGGAAUAUUAGAUUCCAAUUUCCAUUAAAGAAAGGCAUGGAGCACUUUCCAAGAAAGAAAUUCAAAUUACCUUAUGAAUCUAUCAUGCGUGCUACUUAUGAAUUUAGUGCCAAAGACGGCACUCGUUAG